rnacentral:rRNA from 1 species
AUUGAACGCUGGCGGCAGGCCUAACACAUGCAAGUCGAACGAGCGGCGGACGGGUGAGUAAUGUCUGGGAAACUGCCCGAUGGAGGGGGAUAACUACUGGAAACGGUAGCUAAUACCGCAUACUAUCGGAUGUACCCAUAUGGGAUUAGCUUGUAGGUGAGGUAACGGCUCACCUAGGCGACGAUCCCUAGCUGGUCUGAGAGGAUGAUCAGCCACACUGGAACUGAGACACGGCACAGACUCCUACGGGAGGCAGCAGUGGGGAAUAUUGCACAAUGGGCGCAAGCCUGAUGCAGCCAUGCCGCGUGUAUGAAGAAGGCCUUCGGGUUGUAAAGUACUUUCAGCGGGGAGGCGUUACCCGCAGAAGAAGCACCGGCUAACUCCGUGCCAGCAGCCGCGGUAAUAC